GACGAACGCUGGCGGCGUGCCUAAUACAUGCAAGUCGAGCGCAGGAAACUGACGGAACUCUUCGGAGGGAAGGCAGCGGAAUGAGCGGCGGACGGGUGAGUAACACGUAAGGAACCUGCCUCAAGGAUUGGGAUAACUCCGAGAAAUCGGAGCUAAUACCGGAUAGUUCAUCGGACCGCAUGGUCCGUUGAUGAAAGGCGCUUCGGCCUCACCUUGCGAUGGCCUUGCGGUGCAUUAGCUAGUUGGUGGGGUAACGGCCCACCAAGGCGACGAUGCAUAGCCGACCUGAGAGGGUGAUCGGCCACACUGGGACUGAGACACGGCCCAGACUCCUACGGGAGGCAGCAGUAGGGAAUCUUCCACAAUGGACGAAAGUCUGAUGGAGCAACGCCGCGUGAGUGACGAAGGUUUUCGGAUCGUAAAACUCUGUUGUAAGGGAAGAACAAGUACGUUAGGAAAUGAACGUACCUUGACGGUACCUUAUUAGAAAGCCACGGCUAACUACGUGCCAGCCGCCGCAGUAA
rnacentral:rRNA from 1 species